rnacentral:rRNA from 1 species
UUAAGCGACUAAGCGUACACGGUGGAUGCCCUGGCAGUCAGAGGCGAUGAAGGACGUGCUAAUCUGCGAAAAGCGCCGGCGAGGUGAUAUGAACCUUUGACCCGGCGAUGUCCGAAUGGGGAAACCCAGUGUGAUUCGUCACACUAUCGUUAACUGAAUACAUAGGUUAACGAGGCGAACCGGGGGAACUGAAACAUCUAAGUACCCCGAGGAAAAGAAAUCAACCGAGAUUCCCCCAGUAGCGGCGAGCGAACGGGGAGCAGCCCAGAGUCUGAAUCAGCUUGUGUGUUAGUGGAAGCGUCUGGAAAGUCGCACGGUACAGGGUGACAGUCCCGUACACGAAAGCACACAGGUUGUGAACUCGAAGAGUAGGGCGGGACACGUGGUAUCCUGUCUGAAUAUGGGGGGACCAUCCUCCAAGGCUAAAUACUCCUGACUGACCGAUAGUGAACCAGUACCGUGAGGGAAAGGCGAAAAGAACCCCGGCGAGGGGAGUGAAAAAGAACCUGAAACCGUGUACGUACAAGCAGUGGGAGCACCUUCGGGUGUGACUGCGUACCUUUUGUAUAAUGGGUCAGCGACUUAUAUUCUGUAGCAAGGUUAACCGUAUAGGGGAGCCGAAGGGAAACCGAGUCUUAACUGGGCGUUAAGUUGCAGGGUAUAGACCCGAAACCCGGUGAUCUAGCCAUGGGCAGGUUGAAGGUUGGGUAACACUAACUGGAGGACCGAACCGACUAAUGUUGAAAAAUUAGCGGAUGACUUGUGGCUGGGGGUGAAAGGCCAAUCAAACCGGGAGAUAGCUGGUUCUCCCCGAAAGCUAUUUAGGUAGCGCCUCGUGAACUCAUCUUCGGGGGUAGAGCACUGUUUCGGCUAGGGGGCCAUCCCGGCUUACCAACCCGAUGCAAACUACGAAUACCGAAGAAUGUUAUCACGGGAGACACACGGCGGGUGCUAACGUCCGUCGUGAAGAGGGAAACAACCCAGACCGCCAGCUAAGGUCCCAAAGUCAUGGUUAAGUGGGAAACGAUGUGGGAAGGCACAGACAGCCAGGAUGUUGGCUUAGAAGCAGCCAUCAUUUAAAGAAAGCGUAAUAGCUCACUGGUCGAGUCGGCCUGCGCGGAAGAUGUAACGGGGCUAAACCAUGCACCGAAGCUGCGGCAGCGACGCUUAUGCGUUGUUGGGUAGGGGAGCGUUCUGUAAGCCGUUGAAGGUGUGCUGUGAGGCAUGCUGGAGGUAUCAGAAGUGCGAAUGCUGACAUAAGUAACGAUAAAGCGGGUGAAAAGCCCGCUCGCCGGAAGACCAAGGGUUCCUGUCCAACGUUAAUCGGGGCAGGGUGAGUCGACCCCUAAGGCGAGGCCGAAAGGCGUAGUCGAUGGGAAACAGGUUAAUAUUCCUGUACUUGGUGUUACUGCGAAGGGGGGACGGAGAAGGCUAUGUUAGCCGGGCGACGGUUGUCCCGGUUUAAGCAUGUAGGCGGAGGUUCCAGGUAAAUCCGGUACCUUAUUAACGCUGAGGUGUGAUGACGAGGCACUACGGUGCUGAAGUAACAAAUGCCCUGCUUCCAGGAAAAGCCUCUAAGCAUCAGGUAACAUCAAAUCGUACCCCAAACCGACACAGGUGGUCAGGUAGAGAAUACCAAGGCGCUUGAGAGAACUCGGGUGAAGGAACUAGGCAAAAUGGUGCCGUAACUUCGGGAGAAGGCACGCUGAUAUGUAGGUGAAGCCCCUGCGGGUGGAGCUGAAAUCAGUCGAAGAUACCAGCUGGCUGCAACUGUUUAUUAAAAACACAGCACUGUGCAAACACGAAAGUGGACGUAUACGGUGUGACGCCUGCCCGGUGCCGGAAGGUUAAUUGAUGGGGUUAGCGGCAACGCGAAGCUCUUGAUCGAAGCCCCGGUAAACGGCGGCCGUAACUAUAACGGUCCUAAGGUAGCGAAAUUCCUUGUCGGGUAAGUUCCGACCUGCACGAAUGGCGUAAUGAUGGCCAGGCUGUCUCCACCCGAGACUCAGUGAAAUUGAACUCGCUGUGAAGAUGCAGUGUACCCGCGGCAAGACGGAAAGACCCCGUGAACCUUUACUAUAGCUUGACACUGAACACUGGUCCUUGAUGUGUAGGAUAGGUGGGAGGCUUUGAAGUGUGGACGCCAGUCUGCAUGGAGCCGUCCUUGAAAUACCACCCUUUAAUGGCUGGUGUUCUAACGUAGACCCGUGAUCCGGGUUGCGGACAGUGUCUGGUGGGUAGUUUGACUGGGGCGGUCUCCUCCCAAAGAGUAACGGAGGAGCACGAAGGUUAGCUAAUCCUGGUCGGACAUCAGGAGGUUAGUGCAAUGGCAUAAGCUAGCUUGACUGCGAGAGUGACGGCUCGAGCAGGUGCGAAAGCAGGUCAUAGUGAUCCGGUGGUUCUGAAUGGAAGGGCCAUCGCUCAACGGAUAAAAGGUACUCCGGGGAUAACAGGCUGAUACCGCCCAAGAGUUCAUAUCGACGGCGGUGUUUGGCACCUCGAUGUCGGCUCAUCACAUCCUGGGGCUGAAGUAGGUCCCAAGGGUAUGGCUGUUCGCCAUUUAAAGUGGUACGCGAGCUGGGUUUAGAACGUCGUGAGACAGUUCGGUCCCUAUCUGCCGUGGGCGCUGGAGAAUUGAGGGGGGCUGCUCCUAGUACGAGAGGACCGGAGUGGACGCAUCACUGGUGUUCGGGUUGUCAUGCCAAUGGCACUGCCCGGUAGCUAAAUGCGGAAAAGAUAAGUGCUGAAAGCAUCUAAGCACGAAACUUGCCCCGAGAUGAGUUCUCCCUGAGACUUUAAGUCUCCUGAAGGAACGUUGAAGACGACGACGUUGAUAGGUCGGGUGUGUAAGCGCAGCGAUGCGUUGAGCUAACCGAUACUAAUGAACCGUGAGGCUUAACCUU